rnacentral:rRNA from 1 species
CCUACGGGAGGCAGCAGUGGGGAAUUUUGGACAAUGGGCGCAAGCCUGAUCCAGCAAUGCCGCGUGAGUGAAGAAGGCCUUCGGGUUGUAAAGCUCUUUUGUCAGGGAAGAAACGGUGAAGGCUAAUAUCUUUUGCUAAUGACGGUACCUGAAGAAUAAGCACCGGCUAACUACGUGCCAGCAGCCGCGGUAAUACGUAGGGUGCAAGCGUUAAUCGGAAUUACUGGGCGUAAAGCGUGCGCAGGCGGUUUUGUAAGUUUGUCGUGAAAUCCCCGGGCUCAACCUGGGAAUGGCGAUGAAGACUGCAAGGCUAGAAUCUGGCAGAGGGGGGUAGAAUUCCACGUGUAGCAGUGAAAUGCGUAGAGAUGUGGAGGAACACCGAUGGCGAAGGCAGCCCCCUGGGUCAAGAUUGACGCUCAUGCACGAAAGCGUGGGGAGCAAACAGGAUUAGAUACCCUGGUAGUCCACGCCCUAAACGAUGUCUACUAGUUGUCGGGUUUUAAUUAACUUGGUAACGCAGCUAACGCGUGAAGUAGACCGCCUGGGGAUACGGUCGCAAGNUUAAAACUCAAAUGAAUUGACGGCUGAGAGNGCGAGACGACGACGAGGAGGAGG